rnacentral:lncRNA from 1 species
UAAAGAUAAGACCUACGAUCGUUAUCUCUCAGUACUUGUACGCUUUGUUCUCUUCCAGAUUAUCGUCUAGUUUAAAUCGCUAAAGAUCAUUUUAUAAAUUUUAUUUUAGAAUUUGAAUCUGGUGAUAAUAUUGCAAAAUGUUUCCAGAACAUAUUUGAUUAGAAAGAGACUGCAAAGCUAUUUUAUAAGCUUAGAAAUGGUGAUUAUUUAUGCAGCAGAUUCUUGAUUAUCCAUCUUUGAAUCAAUUAGGAUGAUGAAUAUAAAAAUACAGGAUGCGAGAUAUAAUGGAAAAUCAAUCUGUUGAGCAUCUCUUCCUCACAGAAAUUGUGUAGUUUGACCAGGAUAAUUAAGUAUAUCUGACGAUGUGGAAGUAAGUGUUGGUUAGUGGCCUUUUACAUGUGAGCCAAUAAUGAUAACAGCUUUGUGUGUGUGUGUUUUCUGUCUCAUCAACAAAAUGUAGACCUGUUUCCUGUAGAAAGUCCUCCCAGGAGAUACCCCUUUAAUAGAUCACCUUUGUAUUAUGUUGCCUUAUCUCAUCAAACCACACUAACUAUUGAUACUAAGGUUUUUUCCACAACAUCCAUUGUGAUUCAUUUGGGAUAACUGAGAAUCUUUUAGGUACAUACAUAACUGUAUGUAUCUACAGUAAUAAUCUUAUAACAGAACAUGGCAGCUGUGGCAAUACAGUGUUGGUGGGAGAAAAAUAUUCAGGAAAUUGAAAGAUUGAUGAAUAAAACUGAAAGAAGACAAGCAACACUAAAGACAAAGAAUCAGGAAGAAUUUUAUAAUCAUUACAGAAGAAAAGUGGUCCUGAUUCAAAGCAUUAUUCAAAGCUAUUUCACCAAAAUUACAAUUAAUUAUUUACAAAAUGUAAUAAAGCAGAUUAUGUUAUCUAACAAAUCAAGCAUUUCACAGAAGACCGAGAGAGAGAGAUUUUCCUUUAUUGGAAGAAAGGGAAUUUAUCACAAGACAGCCUCAUGUGCAUGAAGAGGCAAGGAAAACCACAGUAUAAUUCUAUAUAUUCUGUAAAAAAGUCACAAGACCACAGUCAUAAGUCUGACAUCUUAAUGGGUGAAGAAAAACAAUACUUAGGAUACUGGAACUUGCUGACACUUGCAGAUAAUGCAGUACGGAAAGAAAAUUGACAGAUAAGAUGAAUGAGCAUCUACAAUGCAAACACCUGUCUUCUAGCUCGUCGAGUCUUUUGAGAGGUGUCAAACGUCAUUCGGUUCAUGCCCAUGUGUAACAAUUUGUCUAAUUUCUCUGGCAUGAUCAAGCAAGACUUAUGAUAAAACAUUACAUGUCGACAGUCUUUAUGAAAAGGUUUUAUUUCUGUUCUAACAAUUUUCUGGAGUAUGUUCGUGAAAUUUAUCGUAAGUUUCUUUGAUUUACAAUUCUGUUUUAAUCUAAAUUAUUUUAUAAAUCUGUGAGAAUUGUAUAUAAACUGAAACACUUUAGACAUUACUUCACUUUAAUUAUACAUUUUAAAUCAAAAUAAUGAAAACAGAAAUAAACAAACUAAAUAUUUUUUUAUAAUCUGUAAAUCCUGUCCUAGGAAUUAUUCUAUAUCAGAAGCAUGUAGACAUUUUUACAUAAUUGGGAGAUUUUCUGUAUACAAUUGUGUGUGUGGGGUUGCACAAUUUUGUUCACUCACUUUAGAAAUUUUCAACAAUAAAGCUUCACAGUUUUGAGGAGAGGUUUGUGUAUUAGGAUGAUUAAUGCCAUUAAAUUUUGAUAGUUAAAGGUUUAAGGGUGGGGAGAUAGAGGGAGGUCAGACGUAUCUCUAGUGGGGUUGGACAUAAUGAAGAUUUUACUCAUUAAUAUUUGCAACUUUUUAUAAAACUCAUCUCUAUUCUCAAAAUUAUGAUUUUUUAAUAUUAAUUAUUAUAAAAUGGCAAAAAGUUUUAACAGAUGUUGCCACAUACAAUUUUAAAUUUAUUGUCAGGAAAGUUAUGAAAGUUGUUGCUGGAUUUUUUUAUUAACUGUUUAGCUACCUCAUGUGUUUUUCAGUUUAUUGCUAAAGUUUUUUUUUGGUUGAUUUCAAUUUUAAGUUUCUAAAUUUGCACUUUUUUCUACAUAAGAAAUUAAUCUACUUUUAAUUUUAAAAAAUAAG